GACGUAGGGCGCGAGCGUUGUCCGGAUUUAUUGGGCGUAAAGAGCUCGUAGGCGGCUUGUCGCGUCGACUGUGAAAACUCGGGGCUCAACUCCGAGCUUGCAGUCGAUACGGGCAGGCUAGAGUUCGGUAGGGGAGACUGGAAUUCCUGGUGUAGCGGUGAAAUGCGCAGAUAUCAGGAGGAACACCGGUGGCGAAGGCGACUACCUGGCCUGUUCUUGACGCUGAGGCGCGAAAGCUAGGGGAGCAAACGGG
rnacentral:rRNA from 1 species